rnacentral:rRNA from 1 species
AGCGUACACGGUGGAUGCCCUGGCAGUCAGAGGCGAUGAAGGACGUGCUAAUCUGCGAAAAGCGUCGGUAAGGUGAUAUGAACCGUUAUAACCGGCGAUGUCCGAAUGGGGAAACCCAGUGCAAUUCGUUGCACUAUCGUUAACUGAAUACAUAGGUUAACGAGGCGAACCGGGGGAACUGAAACAUCUAAGUACCCCGAGGAAAAGAAAUCAACCGAGAUUCCCCCAGUAGCGGCGAGCGAACGGGGAGCAGCCCAGAGUCUGAAUCAGCUUGUGUGUUAGUGGAACGGUCUGGAAAGUCCGACGGUACAGGGUGAUAGUCCCGUACACCAAAAUGCACAGGUUGUGAACUCGAAGAGUAGGGCGGGACACGUGGUAUCCUGUCUGAAUAUGGGGGGACCAUCCUCCAAGGCUAAAUACUCCUGACUGACCGAUAGUGAACCAGUACCGUGAGGGAAAGGCGAAAAGAACCCCGGCGAGGGGAGUGAAAAAGAACCUGAAACCGUGUACGUACAAGCAGUGGGAGCACCUUCGGGUGUGACUGCGUACCUUUUGUAUAAUGGGUCAGCGACUUAUAUUCUGUAGCAAGGUUAACCGUAUAGGGGAGCCGCAGGGAAACCGAGUCUUAACUGGGCGUUAAGUUGCAGGGUAUAGACCCGAAACCCGGUGAUCUAGCCAUGGGCAGGUUGAAGGUUGGGUAACACUAACUGGAGGACCGAACCGACUAAUGUUGAAAAAUUAGCGGAUGACUUGUGGCUGGGGGUGAAAGGCCAAUCAAACCGGGAGAUAGCUGGUUCUCCCCGAAAGCUAUUUAGGUAGCGCCUCGUGAAUUCAUCUUCGGGGGUAGAGCACUGUUUCGGCUAGGGGGUCAUCCCGACUUACCAACCCGAUGCAAACUACGAAUACCGAAGAAUGUUAUCACGGGAGACACACGGCGGGUGCUAACGUCCGUCGUGAAGAGGGAAACAACCCAGACCGCCAGCUAAGGUCCCAAAGUCAUGGUUAAGUGGGAAACGAUGUGGGAAGGCACAGACAGCCAGGAUGUUGGCUUAGAAGCAGCCAUCAUUUAAAGAAAGCGUAAUAGCUCACUGGUCGAGUCGGCCUGCGCGGAAGAUGUAACGGGGCUAAACCAUGCACCGAAGCUGCGGCAGCGACGCUUAUGCGUUGUUGGGUAGGGGAGCGUUCUGUAAGCCUGCGAAGGUGGCCUGUGAGGGCUGCUGGAGGUAUCAGAAGUGCGAAUGCUGACAUAAGUAACGAUAAAGCGGGUGAAAAGCCCGCUCGCCGGAAGACCAAGGGUUCCUGUCCAACGUUAAUCGGGGCAGGGUGAGUCGACCCCUAAGGCGAGGCCGAAAGGCGUAGUCGAUGGGAAACAGGUUAAUAUUCCUGUACUUGGUGUUACUGCGAAGGGGGGACGGAGAAGGCUAUGUUAGCCGGGCGACGGUUGUCCCGGUUUAAGCAUGUAGGCGGAGGUUCCAGGUAAAUCCGGUACCUUUUAACGCUGAGGUGUGAUGACGAGGCACUACGGUGCUGAAGUAACAAAUGCCCUGCUUCCAGGAAAAGCCUCUAAGCAUCAGGUAACAUUAAAUCGUACCCCAAACCGACACAGGUGGUCAGGUAGAGAAUACCAAGGCGCUUGAGAGAACUCGGGUGAAGGAACUAGGCAAAAUGGUGCCGUAACUUCGGGAGAAGGCACGCUGGUGUGUAGGUGAAGUCCCUGCGGACGGAGCUGAGACCAGUCGAAGAUACCAGCUGGCUGCAACUGUUUAUUAAAAACACAGCACUGUGCAAACACGAAAGUGGACGUAUACGGUGUGACGCCUGCCCGGUGCCGGAAGGUUAAUUGAUGGGGUUAUCCGUAAGGAGAAGCUCUUGAUCGAAGCCCCGGUAAACGGCGGCCGUAACUAUAACGGUCCUAAGGUAGCGAAAUUCCUUGUCGGGUAAGUUCCGACCUGCACGAAUGGCGUAAUGAUGGCCAGGCUGUCUCCACCCGAGACUCAGUGAAAUUGAACUCGCUGUGAAGAUGCAGUGUACCCGCGGCAAGACGGAAAGACCCCGUGAACCUUUACUAUAGCUUGACACUGAACAUUGAGCCUUGAUGUGUAGGAUAGGUGGGAGGCUUUGAAGCGUGGACGCCAGUCUGCGUGGAGCCAACCUUGAAAUACCACCCUUUAAUGUUUGAUGUUCUAACGUUGGCCCCUUAUCGGGGUUGCGGACAGUGUCUGGUGGGUAGUUUGACUGGGGCGGUCUCCUCCCAAAGAGUAACGGAGGAGCACGAAGGUUAGCUAAUCCUGGUCGGACAUCAGGAGGUUAGUGCAAUGGCAUAAGCUAGCUUGACUGCGAGCGUGACGGCGCGAGCAGGUGCGAAAGCAGGUCAUAGUGAUCCGGUGGUUCUGAAUGGAAGGGCCAUCGCUCAACGGAUAAAAGGUACUCCGGGGAUAACAGGCUGAUACCGCCCAAGAGUUCAUAUCGACGGCGGUGUUUGGCACCUCGAUGUCGGCUCAUCACAUCCUGGGGCUGAAGUAGGUCCCAAGGGUAUGGCUGUUCGCCAUUUAAAGUGGUACGCGAGCUGGGUUUAGAACGUCGUGAGACAGUUCGGUCCCUAUCUGCCGUGGGCGCUGGAGAAUUGAGGGGGGCUGCUCCUAGUACGAGAGGACCGGAGUGGACGCAUCACUGGUGUUCGGGUUGUCAUGCCAAUGGCACUGCCCGGUAGCUAAAUGCGGAAGAGAUAAGUGCUGAAAGCAUCUAAGCACGAAACUUGCCCCGAGAUGAGUUCU